UACGAAGGGGGCUAGCGUUGCUCGGAAUUAUUGGGCGUAAAGCGCACGUAGGCGGCUUAGCAAGUCGGAUGUGAAAGCCCUCGGCUCAACCAAGGAAGUGCAUCCGAAACUGCUGAGCUUGAGUACUUAAGAGGAUCGCGGAAUUCCCAGUGUAGCGGUGAAAUGCGUAGAUAUCGGGAAGAACACCAAAGGCGAAAGCGCUCUGCUGGGCCGAAACUGACACUGAGAGACGAAAGCUAGGGGAGCGAAAUGGG
rnacentral:rRNA from 1 species